UACGGAGGAUGCAAGCGUUAUCCGGAAUGAUUGGGCGUAAAGCGUCCGCAGGUGGCAAUGUAAGUCUGCUGUCAAAGCGUCUGGCUCAACCAGAUAAAGGCAGUGGAAACUACAUAGCUAGAGUAAGGUAGGGGUAGAGGGAAUUCCUGGUGUAGCGGUGAAAUGCGUAGAGAUCAGGAAGAACACCGGUGGCGAAAGCGCUCUGCUGGACCUUAACUGACACUGAGGGACGAAAGCUAGGGGGGCGAAUGGG
rnacentral:rRNA from 1 species